GAGAAAGUCAUAGAGGUUAUGAUACUGGCUUGAAACCAGUGACUGGGGGUUCGAUUCCUUCCUUUCUUA
rnacentral:tRNA from 1 species